rnacentral:sRNA from 1 species
UCGACGCGUGCAUUGUUUUCGCAAUUGGC